CAAUGCACAAGACACAAAUGACAACCAUGUCACUUCCAUCUUGCGAAUUCACAGGUUUUAAUAUAUGAAGCCACAGGAAAUGUCACCAGAAGAAAACGCCACACUGAAUCAAGCAUACAGUCUGAGACGUGAUCAUAACAUCCUUUUACUUUUAAGCACACCGCAUUUCUCAAGUUCCAGAAUUUUGGAACUGCAAAGAAAUGAUCUAUAAGUAUGAUACUACUUUUUAUACUGAUUGGUUUCGUUACUUCUUGUUCUCCCUCUGGACUUUGGUGAUUGUAAUGAUUUGGAUUUUAACGUACCUGGAAAUGAAGCUGAGGCGGAGAAUCAGAAAUUUCUAUCUAUCUCAAAAUGCCAUGAGAAUCCAUAGCCAUCAAAGAACCUAGAAACUUCACCACAAUGAUAUGACAUGCAAUGAAAUUCUUGUUCCUUUGAACCUCUUUUUGUUUGAAUCCUAAGUUUGAUUAUUUUGUCUGUAUGUUGAAUAAAUGAUUGUAUUUUCCCUUAUUUUGUCUGUUGCUGCACUGAAAUCUUAAUAAAGCUGAACCUGUGCAGAAAUACUAAAAAAUAAAAUCACUGUGAAUAAGGUAAA